rnacentral:tRNA from 1 species
AAAAAUUUAGUUAAAUUAUAACAUUAGUUUGUCAAACUAAAAUUAUUAAAGAAAUAAUUUUUU